UCCGCCAGUACCUCGUCACUGAAAAGGAAACAAAACUUGUGGAAGUAAGAAAAGGCAGCAAAGAUUCACCUGAAGUCAAACGAUGGUGUCCCAGUGCUCGAGAUAUUGAGCUCUUCCAGUGUCGGCCCCCUAGCCACCAUGAGCUCACUUAGCAAUUUGUCGGUUCACGCUCGCGAGACCGCUGCAGCAAUUGGUCGGAGAGUGCUCGGCCACAGAGCCCGAGCUCCAAAGCCUGAAAAAAAAAAAGUUAUACAUUGUAAACGGAGAGAGAGAGAGAGAGAGCAACCUGGACUCCAUCGAGGGGAGAGUUUUCCAUCAACUCCUGGGAUGAAGAUCCGCGUGAGAGGUCCUGCCAGGAUUAUCUGCACUGCCUUGGGACAAGCUCGUAUAGCUUGGACGUAAUGCACGGCUUUAAAGCCUCCCGCACCCCUUCCAAGGACUCGACGUGAUCGAUCUUCUGGCAGAAAAGCUCGAUUAGCAGCUUAUACCACGCGAAGAAAGUGUGAGAAUUCUUGCAAGCUUUGCUCGUCCUGACUAUGGAAGCUUACCAGUCAUAGUCGUUCUUCUCCGGCUCCAAGCCUAGCAGAUCGUUAGGGCUCUUCUGCUGCAGUCGCGGAGCACAGAUUGACGGCGAGGCUGGUGGAGCCGCCACCUCCAAAGAUCAUCGAGUGGCGUGCGC
rnacentral:lncRNA from 1 species